rnacentral:lncRNA from 1 species
GUUAAAGUAACUAUUUAAAUUUCUGAGGAUCCAUGGAGUUGAUACCAAGGUAUCAAGAAUUCAGAUCGAGUUCACCUGAUGAUUAAAGGUGCUUCAAAUUUGUAAAUUAGUUUACAGAUAUCUGAAGCAGAGCACGUCGGAGAUAAACUUAUGAGAUUGAGGCUUAGCUGCAGAUAAACUCCUGAGAUUGAGGCUUAGCUGCUUGAUCGAUUGAACGUGAAGCAAAAUUCGCCGACGCGUCGCUGAUUUGCAGAAGCUCCAACGAGAUCUCGAUGUAACAGUAGAUGGAAGAUGGAGAGUACUCGCCUGAACAAUCGGAGGUAAAUUACUGGAGUGAAUUAUUUGUAAAAUCUUUUUUUUGAUCCCAUUUAAUUAAAAAUAAAACUAUCUUAUUCUUAAGGACUUAGUUAUAAAACUUCCCAGUUAAACUAAAUCCGAGCGGCUACAUGACAUAAUCCCUAGACCAAAUUGGGGGAACGGCCGUCUUUCUUUUUUCUCUCAGCUCGGACUGCAUUCAUCUCCGUUGGCGGGUGGUUACUUCUCCUCGUCGACGAUCGGAUUCAGGUCGUCUUCAUCGGCUGAUGCUCAUCUGAUGAUGCGCGGUAUCCUUUUGUAUGGUGUUGUAGUCUAUUAGCCUUGCAUCAGGAGUCUUACUGUGUACGUUUUUUUUAAAAUUUCACUACGAUUUAAUUGGUGAUAUAUCAGAGUCUGUCUGAUAUAUUAUCAGAAGUUAGACAUCUCUACAGUUGUCUGAUGUAUCAGGAUCUAUAAUUUUUCACAAUCAAUAAAUGCAACUCUUUCAAUGGUUACAUGUGAAACUCUCUCAAUGGUUACAUGUGAAACUCUCUCAAUGGUUACAAGUGAAACUCUCUCAAUGUUGUUCCGUCGUCCCUACUUGUGGCUUGGUCCCGGGAUACUAUGCGGUUCCUGGCCCAAUAACUGUGUCAUGGUACCAACACACAAUAAAGUUAUUGUAACUAAUAGGUUAGUUAUAAGAAAAUUGUUGAUUAGUAGUUGAGCUAUAUAUAUAUCUAAAGUGAAAUUUAAUAGGGCAGUUAGUCCAAUGAUUGGUUUAUUUUAAAAAAAAAUUGAAACUGAACAGUUUAUUAAUUUCAAAACCCUAAAAUAAUCGGAGUGUACA